UGUACAGACUGCUGCUGCACCGGCUGGCUAGGUUGCUGUUGGUUGCUGCCUCAUGGCCGGAUACUAUCUAAGAUAAGCACAACUGCUUUUGGGACCUCUAUCCACCACUACUACUGUUUUGCAUGACCGACUGCUGCCAAACGCCAUGCCGAGUACCUGAAUGCCUGUACCACCUUCUGGACAAAGAUAGUUACUGCAUCAGGAGUAGAAAUCAGG